GCAAGUGUGGCCGAGUGGUUAAGGCGUUGUGUUUAGGUCAUCAUCUCAUCAUGAUUACAAAUCCGCAAUUCUAACGAGCGUGAGUUCGAAUCUCACCGCUUGCA
rnacentral:tRNA from 1 species